CCUCAGGCAUAAAGGGCUAAAAAAUUUUUAUAAGUUUUCUUUUUUUUUGGCAAAAACACUUGAUUUUACUGAGAUUCAAAAUACAUCUAAUAGAAACUCAUAUCCAGUCUUUGAACUGAAAAAUUCGAGAGUCUACAUAAUACCGUGAAAAUCUAAAGAUUUUAUGUUUCUAAGUAUUCUGGAGCUUAAAAAUAUUAAAAUUAGAUAAAACUGUCCAGAUUUGAACUACUGAGUUGCCCAGAGCCUUACACAGCAAAUCUAUUGUGCUCUACAGCCGAUCGGCUUUGCGUACAACCAAAUGGCGAUUCAACUGCCUAGAUUGCCCGAUUUUGCUGUCUUUUAUAUUUUUUAGUUUGUUUUAGCUUUUUUACCAGUUGUAAAAGGCUGUUUUAGCUUUGUUACCAAUAGUUGUAGAAGGAUUGUAAUUUUUAUUUCUACUUUUUCUUAUUUUUUUCAUUUAUUGUACUCCAUGAUAAUUAGUAGAAAAUAUGUCAUUGUUGUGUGA